rnacentral:rRNA from 1 species
AUGAAAAUUUUGAGUUGGAACUGUCGAGGCUUGGGGAAAUCUCGUACAGUUCAAGAGCUUGUGUGUCUAACUAAGACACACCGUCCCAUUGUUAUCUUUCUUUGGGAAACUAGAAAAAAUAAAGACUAUGUUGAGCUUUUGCGUUAUAGGUUGGGUAUGAACAAUUUGUUGAAUGUUUCUAGCCAUGGUAAAGGUGGAGGGCUUGCUGUAUUUUGGAUGAAGCAUACUCCUCUGAGUUGA